rnacentral:lncRNA from 1 species
CUCAUUUAUUUGCAUUUUUACAGAGGUUAUCUUUUUGAAGAUAGGCAACAAUUCUCGUCUGCCUAUUAACCCCAUUCGAUAGGCGAAGCAACUGAGAUUGAGUGACUUGCCAAGCUCAUAAGUCUGGGAUGUAGAGAAACCAAAAAUCAAAUUGCCAGCUCAGAGCCCUUUCCAUCUCCCCAGAAUGCCUCAAACUUAGGUGACUUUGUUUUUAAGGCCACCAGUAACUGCAUCCAUGCUUUUACAUGUGAAGCUACUCAUCAAUGACAGAAAUGGUGUCUUCUUUAUUUCGGUGAGCUCAGUCCCUAGCAUAGUGCCUGUACAUAUCAGGCGCCCAGUAAAUAUUUGCUGAAUGAUUCACCUAUUUCUGUGGUCAGAGACCAUUAUUUGUAGUAUCCGUAACAGCUUUCUGAAAGAUCCAGAAUGUGGCAUCUUCUCUUACAUCAUCUACACCUUGAUACCUUGCAAAGUAAGAAGAAUGUAGUAACAACUGCUGAUCUCCCAAAUCCACCUGCUUCCAGAAGCUGCUUCCAAACAAUCCAGUAAACUUACUAUAGUGUGAAAUAGGACUGAGGAUUGGAUUGCCUCUUGGGAGGAAAGACAGGUGUUGAUCCUGAAGGCACCUCUAAUGAACUUCCCACAUGCUAGUG